UUCCAGACUCCUACGGGAGGCAGCAGUGGGGAAUAUUGGGCAAUGGGCGCAAGCCUGACCCAGCAAUGCCGCGUGAAGGAAGAAGGCUUUCGGGUUGUAAACUUCUUUGACAGGGGAAGAGCGGAAGACGGUACCCUGAAAACAAGCCACGGCUAACUACGUGCCAGCAGCCGCGGUAAUACGUAGGUGGCAAGCGUUAUCCGGAUUUACUGGGUGUAAAGGGCGUGUAGGCGGGAAAGCAAGUCAGAUGUGAAAACCAUGGGCUCAACCUGUGGCCUGCAUUUGAAACUGUUUUUCUUGAGUACUGGAGAGGCAGACGGAAUUCCUAGUGUAGCGGUGAAAUGCGUAGAUAUUAGGAGGAACACCAGUGGCGAAGGCGGUCUGCUGGACAGCAACUGACGCUGAGGCGCGAAAGCGUGGGGAGCAAACAGGAUUAGAUACCCCUGUAAUU
rnacentral:rRNA from 1 species